rnacentral:SRP_RNA from 14 species
GUGCCGGUGGUUGAGGAGGUCUUUGCCGAGUCUGUGCCAGGCCGAGUCUGUGUCAGUGAGGAAGAGGUCGUUGCACCUGCUGUCGUAGAGGAGGCCGAGCCUGUGCCGGUGGUUGAGGAG